GCAAACUUGGUCAUUUAGAGGAAGUAAAAGUCGUAACAAGGUUUCCGUAGGUGAACCUGCGGAAGGAUCAUUACCGAGUGCGGGCCCUGUCUGGGCCCAACCUCCCGCCCGUGUCUCUUGAAUACCCUGUUGCUUUGGCGGGCCCACCGGGCCACCGGUCGCCGGAGGGCGCCCCUGCCCUCGGGCCUGCGCCCGCCAGAGCGCUCCCUGAACGCGAAUGAAGAUGGGCGGUCUGAGUGUGGGAUGACAAUGAAUCAAAACUUUCAACAAUGGAUCUCUUGGUUCCGGCAUCGAUGAAGAACGCAGC
rnacentral:misc_RNA from 1 species